rnacentral:rRNA from 1 species
GCGAGCUUGCCUAGAUGAAUUUGGUGCUUGCACCAAAUGAAACUAGAUACAAGCGAGCGGCGGACGGGUGAGUAACACGUGGGUAACCUGCCCAAGAGACUGGGAUAACACCUGGAAACAGAUGCUAAUACCGGAUAACAACACUAGACGCAUGUCUAGAGUUUAAAAGAUGGUUCUGCUAUCACUCUUGGAUGGACCUGCGGUGCAUUAGCUAGUUGGUAAGGUAACGGCUUACCAAGGCAAUGAUGCAUAGCCGAGUUGAGAGACUGAUCGGCCACAUUGGGACUGAGACACGGCCCAAACUCCUACGGGAGGCAGCAGUAGGGAAUCUUCCACAAUGGACGCAAGUCUGAUGGAGCAACGCCGCGUGAGUGAAGAAGGGUUUCGGCUCGUAAAGCUCUGUUGGUAGUGAAGAAAGAUAGAGGUAGUAACUGGCCUUUAUUUGACGGUAAUUACUUAGAAAGUCACGGCUAACUACGUGCCAGCAGCCGCGGUAAUACGUAGGUGGCAAGCGUUGUCCGGAUUUAUUGGGCGUAAAGCGAGUGCAGGCGGUUCAAUAAGUCUGAUGUGAAAGCCUUCGGCUCAACCGGAGAAUUGCAUCAGAAACUGUUGAACUUGAGUGCAGAAGAGGAGAGUGGAACUCCAUGUGUAGCGGUGGAAUGCGUAGAUAUAUGGAAGAACACCAGUGGCGAAGGCGGC